rnacentral:sRNA from 1 species
UGGCCGUGUGACUCUGCUUCCGGCAGAGGUU